AGGAGGGGGGAAUUAGGGUCAUCGAUCUUAAUGAUGAUUUCUAUCUGGUUUGGUUUUCUUCUGAGAAGGACUAUCAGUAUGCUUUGUUUGAGGGCCCUUGGAUGAUCGCUGAUCACUACCUCCUUGUCCAGAGGUGGCGACCAAAAUUCAGAGCCAAGGAUUCAGAGAUGCGUAGGGUUGCUGUGUGGGUUCGCUUUCCUGAUCUGCCAGUGGAGCUGUAUCAGAGGCAGUUUUUGCAUAGGGCUGGAUCUAUGGUUGGUACUAUGCUGAAGAUCGAUAUGCAUACCUCCAUUCACUUUAGGGGGAAGUUUGCG
rnacentral:lncRNA from 1 species